CACAUCCUGGCCAUCCCAGGCAAGAGUGCUAAUGUGAGGGCCAAGAGUUUUGGAGUAGAGGCCUUGAUAGCACUAGAUAGCCUGAUUGCUGAGUCUAUUUCUACCAAAGGAUAAGGCACACAUCUAUAUGGAUACCGCAUAAAAACCACUCAUGGAGGUACAGAGGGAGGCUCUUCGCGAUUGCUUUGAUGCUACGUGACGAGGAUUAUCUGCGCCAAAUCUGCAGAAAAGGAACCUGGCAGAUCAUGUUCCUUAACCAGAUGCGAAGAAAAGUCAAUGACAUAGAAGGCUGUGGACCACCUAGAAAUGAUGGGGAUUGGCUAAGUAGAAGAAAAUUCAUGUGGCAGCCAUGGUGGGAGCUGAAAGAGAAGAUUCGCCACAGUUGGGAUCUGUGUGUUCCGUCCAGGAGGAAGAUGUCUUGUGGAUUCUGAGGAGAGCCGUGGCUGCUACACUGACCCAGGAGCCUGACUGGCCAGUGUCAUCCUCUUGCUGUCUUUCCCAGCCAGUCUGCAGCUCCCCAGAGGACCCACUGUUACUUAUCUCCUGGGCACCUAGUUCCUGCCUGCAAUAUCCUUCAGCUUAGACUGACUUCAUUUCGUGAUAUCCUUUACCCAGAGUCCUUUUUUUCACACCUCACAGACCAUCACCAGAGGAAACAGGCCGAAUGCAGUCUUCAGGCAGGGAAGUUCUUUUGUUCUUUCUCAUGUUUUUGAUUUUUGAUCAGCUUUGGAAUAGGACUCUGGCUCAGUGUGUGUUACACUUUAAUUAAUUGGUCUGUAUAUGCAUCUCUCUCUCUCUCUUUCUCUGUGUGUGUGUGUGUGUGUGUGUGUGCAGGUGUGAUGCAAAUGUGUUUUUGGUGGCUGGAAAUUGACACCAGGUGCCUUCCUCAGUUGCUCUCCACCUUAUUUUUUUCAGACAAGAUCUCUUACUGAACCUGAAGCUCCUUGAUUCAGGGGGUGUGGCUGGCCAGCAAGCCUCAGGGAUGCCCUUGGCGUCCCGGGUACUAGGAUUAGAGGCACCAGCUUCCACAUGAGUGGGGAGGUGAAGGCCAAGAGGAGGUGAGGAACUGUCUCUCCAAGUGCAAGCUGAUGGAUGUUUGCCAAGCCUGAAACACUGCUAAGGAGACAGAGGCAUUGCCUUCUCUGCAGUAGGAAGGGAGCAUUUGGGUGCAGGCACAGAGAAGCUGACUUGUAGCUGGGUCUCUAUGCUGGCUCUAACACCUGGAAGGGUGCCUGUUCACAUCUGGGCUGGAUGCAGUGGAGCUGACACUGUCUCCUUGCCUACCUGUCUGAAUUUGGUCCAGGUUUGGUGGCUCAGUGACCAGUCCUAUCAACGGCCCAGUGCACAUACUUAAGAGUGUCUCGGACCUGCCCGCCGAUUUCUCUACGGUUUCUUAUGAAUUUCCUCCAAAGGAACCAUAAAUCCCAGCAAGUUCAAAUGAGCCACCAUGGCCACUCCAUCAGCCUCAUAGCACGUUCAGUGAAACUGAGUCUUACAGAAAGAAGUCUGCUGGUGAGAAGCUUGCCAGCUCCCAGUCUUUCGCCCGGCGCUGCAAUCAAUAAUGUAUUAUUUCCUUCACCACCAUGCCCUGUACUUUCCCAUUUUGAAUUAGUCGUUGAGUGUAAUAUUGGGUAGCAGCCAUCCAUUUCUGCUGGCCUCUGACGUGUGACCACUCGAAGUCUGACAGCUCUGGGGGAUUGGAUCUCUUUGUGUUUGGCCAGAGAGUUUAGGACAAAUCUAACUGAUCCAUCUUAACCUCACCUCCAAUCCCUGAUUCAGUCUGCCUUUUCUUCUGCCCUCAUCUACCUCUGUGGUGACCCCAGUCCCCAACUGGAGUGCAGGACAAACUGUUAUCCAGUCUUCCUAAGAUUGUCCCCUGCAAAUCCAUCUUUCCCUCACUGUGAAGAGUGUGUACUUUCUCUGCUGUACAUUUUACCCCUUGUUCUUCUCUGCUGUCUCAUGGAUUCUGUAGUCUUCUUCACACACUUUGCAGUGCUUAAACUGUAGUCCUCCAGGACAAGUUUCAUAACUUGUUUCCUGUGCAUUGGGCACACAGAAAUGAGCUUCUCACCCCUCUGACACUCCUGUCAUGUUUGGGUUCCCUGUUUGAAGGCAAAUUACUCUGCUGCAAAACCAGCCUCCCGAACCCCAGUUUUACCCAAUUUCUCUGCUUAGAUCACGUGAGCCAGAAUUAUUGUGCUGUUAAGGUUUAUUUACUUUGAAUUUCAGUGUUUUAUGAACAUAUAUUUGAUACACAGUAAUGAAAAGUGACACCUCUUGUUAUUUAUGGCUUGCCUCUUGGAGCUCCCCCCGCCCUCUGCUUGCCUUUCUUGGUAGUUAUUGCUGUGAGUGGAGCUGGUGUUCUUUUGAGCAGGUGAGAUCAUUGCUGGCUCGUUGAGGAGUGUGGGCUCUAGAGCAAAGAGCAAAAGCCAUGCUUUAAUAGGAUGCAAUAUUGCCAGGAUUCCUUUAGCUGCAGAGGGCUGAGUCCCUUUUAACACUUUAUGCCACAGUUGGGGUUCCAUAGGAUUGCUCAGAGAACUUGGCUGGACCAGAGAUGAGCCAUCUGUCAAUUGAGAUCUUGCCUGUCCUCUUCAUCUCUGGAUUCUGUUUUCUUUCCUUCUUUUUAUUUAUUUAUUUUUUAAUUAGCUUUCAUAGCAACAGGCUUCCUUGUAGCAUUUUCUGCAGGAUUUCUCCAUAUCACUCCAGCCCCCAUCUCCCUACAGUUCUUCCUUAGUACUGAUCCUAACCCCAGCCUCCCCCUUCCACUGUAGAGUGCCAUAUGUCCUCUUGUCUUCUCUACCUCCCUCCUCCUUCCUUUAAUUCCUCUUCAUCUUUAUCUCUUGGGCCCCAUCGCAGUUUCCUGGCCUUUGUUUCCAUCUAGACACAUGUAGUUGAUAAUUAGAGGCUAGGUCUGCAUGUGAGAGGAUAGAUGGCAUUUGUCCCACUGAACCCAGGUUACCUCAAAUAAUAUGUUUGCAAAAAUAUCCAUUUUCCUGCAACUCUCCUGAUUUUUGCUUUCUACUCCACUGGCUUCCUCUGUAGCUCCUUUCCCCCAUUUUUCACAGGAAAUAUGGCUGCCAACACCUGGAAUGUUAUUCUUGGUGAAUGGAGAGCAGAAGUCUUCUAGUUGGUUCUGGGUCAAGACUACUGUAGGACUUGUAAGAUGGCUGGGAGGCCUGACAGUAAUUGUAUCAGGGCCUAUGAGAGAAAGAUCAGCUUUGAAUAUUUCAGAGAGUGAGAUUCAUGGGAGUGAGGGGUCUUCAGAGAGUCUCACAAGAAAAUCCUGCUGAAUAAACCAUAUUAUGGUCCUUUCA
rnacentral:lncRNA from 1 species